AUCUAUCUGAUAAUAAAUAUUAAAGCGGUCACAGCAGAUUCACAACAAUUAGCACCUUUUACAUGUCAGGGAACAAAGUGGCUCCUCAUCAGAUGUGAGAGAGGAAACCCGUCAGCUGAAAUAUGUCAUGAUGACGACAUACAAGACAAGUUGUACACGGAAAGGAGAGUGUCAGUAGGAUGUGUUGAGUGUCAGGUUGUCAGUCAGGGGAACAACACAGGGCUGUGAAUGAGCCCUGUCACUGUGAUCAGGCUCCUCCUUCUAAUCCACCAACUUAGUGUUGAUGAAGACCAAACAGAGAGAUCACAGCCUUCUUUAUACUCGCUGGAGCUCACAGUUACUCAGCACUGCAGACAUGACGCCUCUGUUCACCUCACUGUUGCUGGCUGCUAUGUGCUUUGAAUGCAGAGCACAGAAAGACAACGUGCUGCAACCAAAAGAAGAUGUGACUGCUGCUGAAGGAGAGGCAGUAACACUUGGCUGUCAAUAUAACAGCAGCUCAAAUGGUCCAACUCUCUUCUGGUACAAACAGGAGGGAAACAACAGCCCCAAAUUCAUACUGAGUCGCGUUCAAGGGAAUUCAGGGAACACACCAGACGAGUUCAAGGAGAGGUUUUCAUCCACACUGAAUUCCACCUUAAGAUCAGGUCCUCUGAAGAUCCAGAAGCUUCAGCUGUCUGACUCUGCUGUGUACUACUGUGCUCUGCAGCCCACAGUGACAGGAAACACCAAAACUCUGUACAAAAACCUUUGGAGCAAAGACAACAGAAUACUCCACAACAUCCACUAGAGGGAGUCACACACUGUUACACUGCAGUGGGAUGUGAUUUUCCAGAAUCAUCUGCAAAAGACAGCAGAAAAUGAAGCAUGAAAGAUAAAGGUAUAAAGUAAAAUUUAGUUAGUCAUAAAACACAAACUGUAAUGAUAAUGAGGUGUUGUGGGAUGCUAUUUAUGUGAACAAUAUCUCAUCACAGGUGAAUUUAACAGCAAAUCUUGUGACAUCUGCAGCUCAAAUUCAACUCUUUAGGUUAAGUUUGUGACAAACUCUCUUACAUAUUCACUGUGUUUAUGUGAAAUAUCGUAAGCUGGCAAGAAAUCAUUUGAAAUAAAACAUU